AGAGUUUGAUCCUGGCUCAGGAUGAACGCUGGCGGCGUGCUUCAUACAUGCAAGUCGAACGAGGUCCAUGGGAGCUUGCUCCCAGAAGACCUAGUGGCGAACGGGUGCGUAACACGUGAGAAACCUGUCCCCGACAGGGGGAUAACAGUUGGAAACGACUGCUAAUACCCCAUAUCGCCGGUGGAUCGCAUGAUCCGCCGAUGAAAGUUCCGGCGGUCGGGGAGGGUCUCGCGGCCUAUCAGCUAGUUGGAGAGGUAACGGCUCACCAAGGCAUCGACGGGUAGCUGGUCUGAGAGGAUGAUCAGCCACACUGGGACUGAGACACGGCCCAGACUCCUACGGGAGGCAGCAGUAGGGAAUCUUGCACAAUGGGCGAAAGCCUGAUGCAGCAACGCCGCGUGCGGGAAGAAGGCCCUAGGGUUGUAAACCGCUUUCAGCAGGGAAGAAAAUGACGGUACCUGCAGAAGAAGGUGCGGCCAACUACGUGCCAGCAGCCGCGGUGACACGUAGGCACCAAGCGUUAUCCGGAUUUAUUGGGCGUAAAGAGCUCGUAGGCGGUUCGGUAAGUCGGGUGUGAAAACUCUGGGCUCAACCCAGAGAGGCCACCCGAUACUGCUGUGACUAGAGUGCGGUAGGGGAGCGGGGAAUUCAUGGUGUAGCGGUGAAAUGCGCAGAUAUCAUGAGGAACACCAGUGGCGAAGGCGCCGCUCUGGGCCGUAACUGACGCUGAGGAGCGAAAGCAUGGGUAGCAAACAGGAUUAGAUACCCUGGUAGUCCAUGCCGUAAACGUUGGGCACUAGGUGUGGGUCUCAACCAACGAGAUCCGCGCCGUCGCUAACGCAUUAAGUGCCCCGCCUGGGGAGUACGGCCGCAAGGCUAAAACUCAAAGGAAUUGACGG
rnacentral:rRNA from 1 species